GAAUUUUUCUCAAUGGGCGCAAGCCUGAAGGAGCGACGCCGCGUGGGGGAUGAAGGGUUUCGAUCCGUAAACCCCUGUCAUUUGUGAACAAUGGCCAUCGUUGAAUAUUCGGUGGCUUGAUAGUAACAGAAGAGGAAGGGACGGCUAACUCUGUGCCAGCAGCCGCGGUAAUACAGAGGUCCCAAGCGUUGUUCGGAUUCACUGGGCGUAAAGGGUGCGCAGGUGGCGCCCCAAGUUUGAUGUGAAAGCCCCGAGCUCAACUCGGGAAUGGCAUUGAAUACUGGGGUGCUGGAGGUUUGGAGGGGGGACUGGAAUUCUCGGUGUAGCAGUGAAAUGCGUAGAUAUCGAGAGGAACACCAGUGGCGAAGGCGAGUCCCUGGACAACACCUGACACUGAGGCACGAAAGCUAGGGGAGCAAACAGG
rnacentral:rRNA from 1 species